GUUUGAAUGCACUGUUAUCUGGACACCUGGAAGGUUGGGCUUCUCCUUCUCUGGGAAGAAAACUUGUCUUGUUUUUCAUUUUCCUCUUGGUGAGAGAAAGGAAUAAUCUCCUUGUGCUGGAGACUGUUUCGGCUGAGCUGCCCAGCUAACAGGCAUGGCACACAAUGAAAGGAGUUCCACUCCAGUUGCACUGGAUUCCACUGGGGAGGACCGCAGGUGCUGAGACAGCACUGCACAGAGAACACUGCUUUGGAAGACCAAACCAAUUUUCUUAACCUGUUACAUUCAUUGCUAUUGACAGAGAUGCAAAUAAAGGUCGUAAAAAGG